rnacentral:misc_RNA from 2 species
AAAUAUAUAUCGUUACAUCUUUUUUGGUGUUGCGGAUCUGGGUUAUCCGGUUUUAAGUCGGUUACCUAAAAAUUAUUAUUGUAAUGUGAUACGUACUAAGAUAAAAAGUCGUUAAUCAUUAAAAUUUAAUAUAUGUUACCUCUAAUUAUUUUUAGUUGGUAAUGUAUAUAUAAUUUUUGA